UACAGAGGGUGCGAGCGUUAACCGGAAUUACUGGGCGUAAAGCGUGCGUAGACGGUAAUGUAAGUCAGAUGUGAAAGCCCCGGGCUCAACCUGGGAAUUGCAUUUGAGACUGCAUUGCUUGGGUGCGGAAGAGGGAAGCGGAAUUUCCAGUGUAGCGGUGAAAUGCGUAGAUAUCGGAAGGAACACCAGUGGCGAAAGCGGCUUCCUGGUCCGACACCGACGUUCAGGCACGAAAGCGUGGGGAGCAAAAGGG
rnacentral:rRNA from 1 species